UUCACUGCUCCAAGAGUAAUCAGUCACGUGUCUCAGUAGCAGGAAUGAAAUCUUUGACCUCACAGCAAGUGAAGCUGGUGAAGGAACAGAAGAGAAGUGAGAAUAGGUCCAUCUCCACAAUGAGGGGAGGACAGCAUGGAAGAGGGAGUCCAGGCCCUGCCAGCUGAGGAGAUGGGGACAUAAGGCACAGCUGUGGUAACCCUGGGCCACCACUCUCCAGCGUCCCCAAAGCCUGCUGUGGUACUCUGUGGCUGCCCUCUGCAUCCUGUCUGGCUACCAAGGCGAAAGGGUCUCAGCUGUUUAGGCUAGUGCCAGCCAUGCUCCCUCUAAUGCCUAAGUGAGGGUUCCGAGGCCUCCACUUCAGCAUCUGGGAUACUACAAGGGGGACCCAGGAGGAGAAGGGGCCCUAAACAUGAUCAGGGGAUUUUGGCAUCCAAACGUGUUGGCCUGGAGACUGUGGGGAGCAUAGAAGCUUGGAGAACACACAGCAGGUGUUGAUGUGAGGCUGGGCGAUGGGGAAAUGGAGACUGGGGUUGGGAAACCAACCCCUGGAACAGAGGAAACACAACGCCUUAGGCCUUUACAUAACCAGCCUCUUGGACUUAUGCUCCUUCUAGAGACCUUUCUUCCUCAGUGGAAAACCCACUCAAAGGUGUCUUUUCCGUCUUUGCCGGAAGGCAGAAAAUUCACUUGGCACACAGGCUUCUCUGCCAAGUCUUGGGAAGUUUACCUACUCUGUGAGGUGCUGUUUCACUAUGAAAUUUACUCCCCGUGACGUUCAAUCCAGGAAACUGAGUCUCAAGGACCCUGGCUAACAACGGCCCUCACCUCCCUUUGGGUGUAUCCCCAUUUAUUUAUGGAAAGUAUUUUCUGCCACGUGAAGCACAAAGAUUUACUGAGAGGAGGGUGUAGCAGAGUGGUGGGUUAAUCCUGAGUGGAGUUGCUUUGCUGUGCAGGUAACUUCCUCUUCCCCCUUACAGCAUGAACAGACAGGCCUUUGUGUUCUGAGUUCUUGAUUCCCUUGUCCUGGGUGUGGAAUGGACAAACACUAAGCUCUUUUGCUUUUUAGAAUGGAGAUAUUGUUUUGAAAUGUAAGCUGGAGAAAGGUAGGAGACAGCAACUAGGCUUUGAGAAGAAGGGAGUGGCCUGGCUCUGAUGGUAGAGAGAGAGUGGCCAGUCUUGAGUGGUGGGGACUUGCAUGCCACUCACCAUCCAGCACCCAAGUUGAGAUGUACAUCUCAGGUGAACUGAGUGAACUGAGGCCAUGGACACCUAGGGAUGAGACCCGGAGUCUCAGGAACUGGGAGCCAAGUGAAAGGGCCAAAGACCUCGUCUGACCUGGAGAUGGUGGGGGCCACCAGAGGAGCCUGCAGAUGGGGGCAUCGUCCUGGGGACCUGGACAAUAAGCAGCUCACUGGCUACCAUGCUGCACUAAAGGCCCCUGCCCAAUGUUCCUGAAUGGUGGAAACUCUAGGACUCUAGACUUCUUUGAUCUUCCCAAGGGAGGGAUAAGCACAAGGUG
rnacentral:lncRNA from 1 species